GAUGAACGCUGGCGGCGUGCCUAAUACAUGCAAGUCGAGCGAACGGACGAGAAGCUUGCUUCUCUGAUGUUAGCGGCGGACGGGUGAGUAACACGUGGAUAACCUACCUAUAAGACUGGGAUAACUUCGGGAAACCGGAGCUAAUACCGGAUGAUAUUUUGAACCGCAUGGUUCAAAAGUGGAAGACGGUCUUGCUGUCACUUAUAGAUGGAUCCGCGCUGCAUUAGCUAGUUGGUAAGGUAACGGCUUACCAAGGCAACGAUGCAUAGCCGACCUGAGAGGGUGAUCGGCCACACUGGAACUGAGACACGGUCCAGACUCCUACGGGAGGCAGCAGUAGGGAAUCUUCCGCAAUGGGCGAAAGCCUGACGGAGCAACGCCGCGUGAGUGGUGAAGGUCUUCGGAUCGUAAAACUCUGUUAUUAGGGAAGAACAUAUGUGUAAGUAACUGUGCACAUCUUGACGGUACCUAAUCAGAAAGCCACGGCUAACUACGUG
rnacentral:rRNA from 1 species